CCUGUCAUUAAUAAAAUUAAGAUUAUAGGUACACUAAAGCUAGCAUAAUCUACAAUUGGUGAGCAUAUAAGAAAUAUCAAGAAAGGGUUCACCAACCACAGUGUAUCUAAACAUUUGUUAGAGAAACUUGGUUUAGAUCCAAAAAUUUUAAAAAUAUGUGCAAUAGAAAAGUUAGUUUGCACUGGAGAAGAGGAGAUCUCCCCCCACCCCCAAAAAAAAAAAAUUGAGUACCCAAGAGGUGAAAUGGAUUGUUGAAAUGCACACCUUAACACCUAUG